rnacentral:lncRNA from 1 species
ACCAGCACAAUCCAAUUUACAUCAACACAUAAAAUUUUCUUAUUCAAUUUCUUGCAAUCGAAGCUCUUCAUGGAAACUAUCAUCUCGUGCAGUUGUGAGAGGCAGUAACAAGUAGGAUUAAUAUAUCUGUCCAAAAAUAGAACAAACAUUAGACAUUGUUAGAUAUGAGUAAUUUUGUUAGAACCAACCAAAGGGGUGUCUUUUAUCAAGUUUCGGGAUAAAGUUUCACUUGUAUGUACGUUGGAAGAACAAAAAGAUUUAGAAAAUUGUAUGUAGAAAAAUUGAUGAUAAGUUGGAACAAUUUUGUACGGACAACCAUGUUAUAAACCUGACCACCAAAUCUGCAAAAGUAUUAUAUACUCUACACUGAAGAUGAUUGUAACAAUUUUGGGAAGAUGAUAUAACUUAAUAACAAAUGAAUGUAUGUAUUGGGAAAUAUUACAAAUGUUGAUGUAGCAAACACUACCCCAGCUUGGCCCUCUUUGGCUCUAUGCAGAAGAUAAUUGGUUGUAGAGAACCCCUUAGUAUGCUAAAGUAUAAGAAGUACCCUACUUUUGGUAGCAAGGAACAGACUUGUUGACAAGGAAUAGAUUUUGGUUAUAUGGCUGUGUCUGGUGUAGAACAAAGAAAAUACUAAGCUGACCCAUUAUAAGGUAUGGUUAAGUAAAAAAAUUGCCAUGUGCUGGCAAGUUAUAUUGCCUAAAGUGAGGAUUUAAACUAGCUAAUGACACAUCUGAUUAUGAAUACACAUUGAUUUCUAUACAUAUUAGAUGGAACAUAAAGCUGCAAGAAUAUGGAUGAUAAGCUGCACAGAGUAAAUACUUGCUUGGUGUAAAGGUGUAGUGUAUGGUGUACCUAUGUUAAUAUGGCUCUGCUUGCGUGUCAUGAAUAUCUUGUGCAGAGUACCCAAGGAAUCUUGCAUAUAUCCUGCUACAUUUUCAUUGCCUUGAAGUUCAUCAAAGAAUACAACAACUUUCGAUUUUAGACUAGAUGCUGUGAAAAGAGAUCUUGUCGGUACAGAUACGCCAAUGUGCUUGUUUCUGUGUUUGGCUAGAUUUCAAGAGAGAAAGUCAACUAAAUUAACAGGAUAAACAACAACAGUCAUACUCUACCACAAGAACAAAAUAAAAAUGAGCCAGGGAAUGAUAAUUUACAACACAAUUUCAUAAAUGAUACAGAUUAUAAACAGCAAACUAACAAUUUGCUCCUAGAGCUGAAUCAUUUCCAAGGAAAGCAAACAUGAUAAUACUAGCGGUUUCGCCUUUCAAUCAAACAACAUGCAAAUGUACCACCCACCUUCUCCAAGAUUAGCUAAAGGGGUCACGACUAACAGGAUAAAUGAAGAAUGAACAUUGUCAGACAGUAAGCCCAUCAUUAGAAGGGCCUUGAAACCAAAUUUUAUUCAUAUAUAUUUUCAGUCAAAGUUAAAACAAAUUGACACGUACAAACUGAACCAAACUGUGGUUCUUCUUCAUAUUUAUCUACAGAUGCAGGUGCCAUCCAGAUUGUUUCAGUCAAAGUUAAAACAUAUCGACACAUACACACUAAACGGAACCAUGGUGCUUAUUUCAUAUAUAUGUAUGCACAGAUGUAAAUGUCAUCCAGAUUUUUAUCUGGGAUUUUUGGAACCAUACAGCAACAGCCUAGGAGUACAAGUUGAAGGAGUAGUAUUGUUUAGAGUAGUCUCGUAAUAUUUAUUUUCCAAAGAAAUUUAUUUUCUGGACGACAGCACCACUGUACCAUCUAGUAAGACUAAGUGUCAAAGCAAGAAACUUUAAGGUAGGUUUUGAAACAAUUUCUAGUUUCAGGCACAAGAAUAACAACCUGUGUGUGGGUAUCCCAGGCACAAGAAUCAUUGGGCUUGCAACGUGAAGCUAGGGGAAGUUGCACAGCAGUACAGUGAUCCAUCCAACCUGAAAAUCCAUCCAACACUAGUAGUCGAAUUAAUCAGUGUAUCAAUACUACAUCCUAAUAAAUUAACGUACUACCAUCCAAAAGUACCAUCAUGUUGUGUAAUAAAUCACUGUUUUAGCAUUACAUCAGACUAAAUGAUUAUAAGUUUAGAGUGCAUCCCACUUAAUAAUAUGUGGGCUUGGCAGGCAACAUCUUAAAUUAUGCGACAUAUGUGGGGGAGGAGCGGGCCUCCCGAUCACCUUGCAGCAUAAGAACCACCUAUCCAGCACAUACGGUUUACAAAAUAUCAUAUGCACUACGUACAUCAGGUAUUUCACGGACCCGAAAAUUAGAAGACAUGUGAAAUAUAUUAUUAUAUGAGAACAUUUGAUUUAUGAAGGUUCACCUCCAUUUCACCAGUAGGUGAUUGGUCUAGUUUAAAAACAGAAUUAGCUGCUCGGUUAUGCAUGGUAUUUCUUAGAAAAUAAGUAGAGUAUUCAGUUGAAACCUAUACAGAGACCCUCAGAACCAAGGGUUUCAGUAGCAUCCGACCCCUUCUCCUGGCACUUGCAGCACCUUCGUUCUCCUUCUCACAAUCCUACAAGCAAACAAAUUGUGUCCAUUUCAGUCCCAAUUGUAGUACAACCAGAGAACCCAAAUGACCAAUUGAUGUCCUCCACGCAAUUUCCAGUUCAACCAGAUCCGACUACUAUAGCAAUUACUAAAAUAGAGGCAUACAGAUCUAAAGAUUUUAACAAAACAACAAACAAUUGGUGGCCUAGGUUGUUCUUUUAGCAGCAAACAAAGGCAUGCAAUUGUAAAGAGGGAAAGUAGCAGAGGCAUACCAUAGACAACGUGGUCGAGCAGGAACCAAGAUGUCAACCCCUCGCUCCUCAGGUGCAUCCCGUUCUUCCCUUUUCUCCCUGCA